rnacentral:rRNA from 1 species
CCUACGGGAGGCAGCAGUAGGGAAUCUUCCGCAAUGGACGAAAGUCUGACGGAGCAACGCCGCGUGAGUGAUGAAGGUUUUCGGAUCGUAAAGCUCUGUUGUUAGGGAAGAACAAGUACCGUUCGAAUAGGGCGGUACCUUGACGGUACCUAACCAGAAAGCCACGGCUAACUACGUGCCAGCAGCCGCGGUAAUACGUAGGUGGCAAGCGUUGUCCGGAAUUAUUGGGCGUAAAGGGCUCGCAGGCGGUUUCUUAAGUCUGAUGUGAAAGCCCCCGGCUCAACCGGGGAGGGUCAUUGGAAACUGGGGAACUUGAGUGCAGAAGAGGAGAGUGGAAUUCCACGUGUAGCGGUGAAAUGCGUAGAGAUGUGGAGGAACACCAGUGGCGAAGGCGACUCUCUGGUCUGUAACUGACGCUGAGGAGCGAAAGCGUGGGGAGCGAACAGGAUUAGAUACCCUGGUAGUCCACGCCGUAAACGAUGAGUGCUAAGUGUUAGGGGGUUUCCGCCCCUUAGUGCUGCAGCUAACGCAUAAGCACUCCGCCUGGGAGACGACA